UGAACGCUAGCGGCAGGCCUAACACAUGCAAGUCGCGGGGCAGCACGGGUAGCAAUACCUGGUGGCGACCGGCGCACGGGUGCGUAACGCGUAUGCAACCUGCCCCCAUCAGGGGAAUAGCCCGCCGAAAGGCGGAUUAAUGCCCCAUAGGCCCAGGGCGCCGCAUGGCGCUAUGGGUAAAGCUCCGGCGGAUGGGGAUGGGCAUGCGUGCCAUUAGCUAGUUGGGGCGGUAACGGCGCACCAAGGCGACGAUGGCUAGGGGGUCUGAGAGGAUGGUCCCCCACACUGGUACUGAGACACGGACCAGACUCCUACGGGAGGCAGCAGUGAGGAAUAUUGGUCAAUGGGCGGAAGCCUGAACCAGCCAUGCCGCGUGCAGGAUGACGGCCCUACGGGUUGUAAACUGCUUUUCCCCGGGAAGAAUAAGCCCCUCGUGAGGGGCGAUGCCGGUACCGGGGGAAUAAGGAUCGGCUAACUCCGUGCCAGCCGCAGC
rnacentral:rRNA from 1 species